rnacentral:rRNA from 1 species
GAUCUUUAUAUAGUUUUUAUUUAAUAGAAAUUAGUUAAAUUUUAUUUUAAGUUUAAUUUAUAUUAUAUUGGGGUAAUAAUAAAAUUUAUAAAAUUUUUAUUUAUUUUUACAAGAAUGAUUGAUUUUAUGAUCCAGUACUAUUGAUUAGAAAGUUAAGUUACCUUAGGGAUAACAGCAUAAUGAUUUUUGAGAGUUCUUAUUGA